rnacentral:lncRNA from 1 species
GGACUAGGCCUGAAAGCCAAAUCACUCUGACUUUCAUGGACUGGCCAACAAUAGGUCCCAGGCCGGACUUUGCUUCCUCAUUGCUUGGGCUCUGAUGAUUUAGAGUAAGUGUAAAUAGUAAUAGUAAUAGUGUAAAUAGUAAACCCUGAGUCUUCCCUUCCCAGUUCGAUUUUUUUUUUAAUUUACUAGGUAAAAGAAGCCAUUUCUUUGCCUCAUUUCUUACCUGUCCUUAAACACUGAAUAGAAAUUGCCUCAAUCAAACUGAGACCUGGGAAAGACCUAAAGAGGCCAAGGUCUCCCACUGCAUCCAGUGCGGUCUCCAGCCCUCCUGAACUCUAUCUGGCCAGCAGGCACCUGUGACCUUGCCCAGCCCUUCCUCACUGAAAUCCACUUCAGUUGCAAGUUAUGGCAUUACCUUCUUGAUUUCAUGGUCCUCAUUAUGAAUUAAGGGCAAAAAAACAGCUCAAUUUUAAAUUAUCUUUAGAUAUGCCUGUGACACUUUUUUAAAAUGACUUAUUUUUUCUUGUACAUGUACUUAUGCUUUGAAUUUAAUAGUUUUUAAUUAAAUUUUAAUUAAAUACCAAAAUAAAGUUAUUAAAAAGUUGCUAUGAAGAAAGUAGAGAUUAAAAAUUAGAAGCAAGCAGGACACCACUGAAUCAUUACCACAGAUGUGUUUUGUUGGUUAAGGUUAUUUUCAAAUCUUCUUAUGAUUUUAUGUGAGAGAUGGAAUCUUAGAAUUAGAAUGUUUCAUUGGCUUCUCUCAUAUAUUGCAAGUAUUGGUUAUAUUUUUAUUUGAAUAACGUUAGCUCCUGAAUUACUUUUAUAUUUCUCUCUUAUAUUAAAAACCUAUUAAAAUCUGGCUUUUUCUCUUAUAGGGUUUAUUUCCCACGGAGGCAUUCCCAAGGAAUCUGUCCUUAAACAUAUAACUUGACAAUAUGUUUGAACUUGGAAUUAUUGCAAUGAACAUGAAGGGAGAAACUGGAGCUGCUUCAUCAGUUCAGUUCACCUAUUGUGUCUGGUUAGAGGAAAAUGAUUCCAUUAGACAGUUAAUACAACCAGCUUUUCAAUCAUGAAAAUACUAUCAAGCAUUUUAUUUUUACUGUUCAUUCAUUAGUCUAUCAGUUACUUAAACUCAUCUAGAUAAAUAUAAAAUAAAUGAAAUUUUGAAUUCAUCUUUUUCCAUUAAGUUUAUUUCCACAUACUCAUUUCAGACCUCAAUGAUUUUGCAGGUGCUUCAUUUCUUUAUUUUCAUUGCUUUCAUUUUUCAAAGUUAAUUUUGUUGUUAAGAUUACCUGGUUCUUCAAAGCAAAUCAACAAACAUUUUUUGAGUGCAUACUGCAUGAAAGACACUGUCCUUUUAAAUAUAUCAUUCACCAAAGAAGCAAAAUGUUUGUAUUAGGAAUUAGUAUGUUUUAUUUGUUGUUUGAUAUGAUUGAAUCAUGCCACCAAAGAUCAUUCAUUUCUUUUGAUUAACUCAAUUUUGUAUGUUUAAAAAAUGAUGUUAAAAAUGUUGCUCUUAACACAAGGUUUUGUGAGGGUAAAUAUUGAAAAUUAUAUUUUGAAAAUAAAGUUUUAUAAAAAAAAUUAAAAUUCAAAAAAAUUGUUGCUCUUGAAAAGUAAUAAAAAUCUAGAUGAUAUUAAUA